CAAUCUGGGUGUUGAUGAUGCAUC
rnacentral:siRNA from 1 species